GACGAACGCUGGCGGCGUGCCUAAUACAUGCAAGUAGAACGCUGAAGAGAGGAGCUUGCUCUUCUUGGAUGAGUUGCGAACGGGUGAGUAACGCGUAGGUAACCUGCCUUGUAGCGGGGGAUAACUAUUGGAAACGAUAGCUAAUACCGCAUAACAAUGGAUGACACAUGUCAUUUAUUUGAAAGGGGCAAGUGCGCCACUACAAGAUGGACCUGCGUUGUAUUAGCUAGUAGGUGAGGUAAUGGCUCACCUAGGCGACGAUACAUAGCCGACCUGAGAGGGUGAUCGGCCACACUGGGACUGAGACACGGCCCAGACUCCUACGGGAGGCAGCAGUCGGGACUCUUCGGCCCUGGGGGCCCCCCUGCCCGCGCCCCGCCGCGUGCGUGCCGACGGUUUUCGGAUCGUAAAGCUCUGUUGUAAGUCAAGAACGGGUGUGAGCGUGGCACGUUCCCACUGUGCCGGUCGCUUCCCCGACAGGGACGGCUCCCUACGUG
rnacentral:rRNA from 1 species